rnacentral:tRNA from 1 species
GCGAGAGUGGCGGAAUCGGCAGUCGCGCACGUUUGAGGGGCGUGUGGGGCAGCUCGUACGGGUUCAAGUCCCGUCUCUCGCACCA